CCCUUAAAUGUUCUGGGCCGCACGCGCGCUACACUGUUCGACGCAGCGAGUCUUAACCUUGACCGAAAGGUUUGGGUAAUCUUCAGCAAAGUCGAACGUGAUGGGGAUCGAUCAUUGCAAUUAUUGAUCGUGAACGAGGAAUUCCUAGUAAGUGCAAGUCAUCAGCUUGCGCUGAUUACGUCCCUGCCCUUUGUACACACCGCCCGUCGCUACUACCGAUUGAAUGGUUUAGUGAGAUCUCUGGAUUGACGCUGGCUAGGGGGCGACCCUUGGCCAGACUGUUGAGAAACUGCUCAAACUUGAUCAUUUAGAGGAAGUAAAAGUCGUAACA
rnacentral:rRNA from 1 species